CCUCCUUUUCUUGGCAUCUCUGAACUCUCCCCAUGUUUAUGAGAUGAAUGCAACCAGGAGGAAGAUUAAAAAUGAUGAACCUUCGGUGUCAGGGUUCUUAUGCCCUGGUCCCAUCCUCUAGCAUCAUUACAGGG
rnacentral:snoRNA from 1 species